rnacentral:sRNA from 1 species
UUUCAGGUUUAUUAUCUUUAGGUUUCACCAUAAUUAAUUAAAGAGCUUAAUAACAAAAACAGAUUAAGUAAUCAAACAACUAGUACGCAUCCCAAAUAAAUUCUUCUUCGAGGUGAAACACCAACAGGUAAUGUAACCUAUCUUUAAGUUCAAUUUAUCAUUUAAUCUACGUAAUGUAUUUUGCAAUGAAGGCAAAACUUCCCUUUUAAUAGGCACACGUAACUGACCUGUGUCAAGAUCAUGUUUACAUAGAAAAACAGCAUGAGGAUAUGCAUCAGAUGCAGACUAUAUAUAGUAAGAUCAUAAAACUCGUUAAUCCCAACACCUAAAUCUUCCAAAAUAGGAAAGAAAAUAUCAACAAUCACCAGUACUCAGAAAAAAGGGGCAAACAUUC